AUUGAACGCUGGCGGCAGGCCUAACACAUGCAAGUCGAGCGGAUGAAGGGAGCUUGCUCCUGGAUUCAGCGGCGGACGGGUGAGUAAUGCCUAGGAAGCUGCCUGGUAGUGGGGGAUAACGUCCGGAAACGGGCGCUAAUACCGCAUACGUCCUGAGGGAGAAAGGGGGGGAUCUUCGGACCUCACGCUAUCAGAUGAGCCUAGGUCGGAUUAGCUAGUUGGUGGGGUAAAGGCCUACCAAGGCGACGAUCCGUAACUGGUCUGAGAGGAUGAUCAGUCACACUGGAACUGAGACACGGUCCAGACUCCUACGGGAGGCAGCAGUGGGGAAUAUUCGACAAUGGGCGAAAGCCUGAUCCAGCCAUGCCGCGUGUGUGAAGAAGGUCUUCGGAUUGUAAAGCACUUUAAUUUGGGAGGAAGGGCAGUAAGUUAAUCCCUUCCUGUUUUGACGUUACCAACAGAAUAAGCCCCGGCUAACUUCGUG
rnacentral:rRNA from 1 species